GGGUUAGUAGGUUGGUCAUGCCUCUGGUAUGUACUAAUCUCACUGAUUCCUCCCUCUUGACGAACUGUAAUGUCAUUAAUUUGGUGUUGCAGGAAAUCAGGACUGUUUUAACUUUGAAAAAUUAGAGUGUUUAAAGCAGGCAUUAGCUUGAAUACAUUAGCAUGGAAUAAUGAAAUAGGACGUUUGACCCUAUUUUGUUGGUUUCUAGGAUCGACGUAAUGA
rnacentral:rRNA from 1 species